CCCUGCCCGCACACCUGGUCCCCAUUGGUAAUCAGUUCAAUUCAGUUCCACCUGGUUCCCUCCUUCAACGCUGCUUCUUAAUCGAAUGUUGGUCAAAGUGUGUUCAAAAAUGGUCACACUUAAUCCCGUUUUCUGGAACUAUUUAUGAGAAUCCGCUGGAAAAUGUUUUGACGUACGUUGCGGACAGAGGCAGAGGUCACAAACAAAUGUACGGCCCUCAGUGGAAAAAGUUUGGACACCCCUGGUUUAUGUGGUGGUUUUGCACAGAAUGAAUGGUAUUUACCUGCAAAGACUCCAGGAAGCGAAAGGAGCCCAGGCGUCGACCUCGAGGGACCAAACAAAAGGUGGAGUUGUGGAGCAGCUCCUGGUAAUCGAACCUAGAAAAAGAAUGGUGCCUGUAACACGGCAGUAAAACGGCUGACCAUACAAAACAGAGGUCAUCAUCAUGGACCCCACUAGCUGCAGAAGCUAGCUCUCCAACCAGCUGAACAGACUCAAUAACUCCACGGUGACAUUUUGGUAUGGACAAGGACUACAAAGGCGGACUCGCGCAAUUUUUCAGGAUUUAUGCAGAUCUCAAACACCGAUCAGACGGUACCAGAAG